ACCCCCGAAAUACAAAAACAUUAAUGGACUCCUGUGUUUAUUUUUUUUUUAAUUUUUUUAUUAUUUAUUUAUGAGAGUCAUACAGAGAGAGAGAGACAUAGAGAGAGAGAGAGAGGCAGAGACAUAGGUAGAGGGAGAAGCAGGCUCCAUGCACCGGGAGCCCGACGUGGGAUUCGAUCCCGGGUCUCCAGGAUCGCGCCCUGGGCCAAAGGCAGGCGCCAAACCGCUGCGCCACCCAGGGAUCCCAAACUCCUGUGUUUAUUGCAGCUUUAUUUACAAUAGCUAAACUAUGAAAACAGCUCAAGCGUCCAUUGAUAGGUGAAUGGUAGUCAUAAAAAAGAAUGAAAUCUUGCCAUUUGCAGCAAUAUGGAUGGAGUUGAAGAGUAUAAUGGUAAGUGAAAUAAGUCAGGAGGAGAAAGAUAUCAUGAGAUAGUACUCAUUUGUAGAACUUAAACAAAAUAAGCAAAGAAAAAGAGAGGGAGAAACUAAGAGACUCUUAACUAUAGAGAACAAAGUGAUGGUUACCAUGGUGGGACAUGGGUGGGAGGAUGUGUGAAAUGGGUGAUGGGGAUUAAGGAAUGCACUUUUCAUGAUAAAAAACAGUAAAAAUAUUGCAAAGGUACACUAAUGAGCCAAGUUACUAAGACAUCUGACUCAUAGGUAAUUCUUUGCAAAUAGAUUAAGAGAAUCUGGGGAAUCUAAUAUUUUUGACCCAAAUAUCUUUGUUCGGACACUUCAUAAAGCUAUAAUCUUAACAUCCACAGACGAAAAAGGAAGUUAGUGAUGCUGAAAACACAGAGAAUUGCAGGGAGAAUUCAGGACACUCAGGCACAACACAAAGAAAUCUCUCAAUUAUGAUGAAGUUUUCGAGUGUCAAGAAGCAUGGAACAAUACCAAGUACUGCAAUGUCACAUCAAUGUGAUGCUGAUGGCUAUUUUGACCUUCAAGAACUCCGGCCUGUGAGGCUAAGAGCUAAUGUGUACUUUCAUCGAUCUGAGUUGGAGACACACAGCGGGUUAUAGUGCCUGUUUUCCCUAUUUAUCGAGAAUCCUGAUGUAUAUCAGUCACUGUGCAGGACCAUGGGUAUAAAGAGUGCACGAAGAGAAACAGGUGGACUUUCUGGGAGACUUCCAGAAAGAUUGGGUGAAUUGGUGACGUUAGAAAUGAUCGUUGACCAGUAAUGUGUAAAGAGCUAGUGUCUUUCAUCAGGGUUUAAAACAUUCUUUUCCAUGCGAUUGUGGAAAAAUCAGCAGUUUUCAGUGGGUUGAUUUCAAAAGUUAGUUGGCUCCUGCUGUCAUAUAGGUAAUUUAAAAACAGUUGACAAUUAUUUUUAACCUGAUGAUAAAGAGACAAGUGUGGUUGUUUGAAAUAGGAAUAGUCUAAACUUUCACCAGAUCUGCACAAAAUGAUUAGGUGAGUGAAGGAAUUUGGGUUAGCCUAAUUCUCUUAUUCUUUAAAGCAAGAACUUGCCCUCCUUUCCCUCCUUCCCACCUUGACUCCCCUGUGUCCAUGCUAACAUGGCAGCCGCAGGCCACUUCUGUGUGUCAGACACUUAAUGUGACUAGCGUGACUGAGCAACUAAAUUUUAUUUAAUUUUAAUUCAUCUAAAUUUAAUUUUAAAAAAUGAAGCAGUAUACGAUAUUUUCUGCUAAACACAACUCUACCAUUUGGUAGGACUCUCUUUCUCUUCACUUGUUGAAAUGCAUGGGCUGUCACUGUUGCUCUGUCAUGAGCAUUUGGGGCACAUGUGUUGUUUCUAGUAUAACUCAGAACCACAUAUUGAUCUGCUUGAUGUCAAUGGAUUGAUUCAGUUCUAUUUUUUUUCUACUUGCCUAAGCAAUGUAGUAUGUAUUUUAU
rnacentral:lncRNA from 1 species